rnacentral:rRNA from 1 species
AUGGAUUUCACGGCCCCCUCCUUCUCCCUCGGCCUCGACCUCGACGACCCGACCCCCGCCGACGCCGACGACGGAGGCGACCCGCGCGAGGAGGCGCGAGGGUUGCGGAGGGGUCCUGCGCCGGGUUACGAGGCGCCCGACGCGCCCUCGUUCUCACUCGGAAUCGACGACGACGACAACUUCGUUGCCGGCGGAGCCCUUGACCCGGACCCCCUGCCUCCGCAGCCGGAGACGAAUCGACUGAAGAGGUUGCGGAGAGGCCCUGCACCGCGUUCUAUGGCGCCUCCUCCUCCUCCUCCUCCUCCUCCUCCUCCUCCUCCUCCUAGGGCAGCACCGCCCCUGGCUACGGAAGCAUCUCCGGAUUUCAGCCGGAAGGCGGCACCACUUGGGGAUAUUGGGAGCUACGAGGACGAAAUUGAAGAUUUCAGUGACGAGGAGCCACCACGAGGCAUGACACCAUCAGUUGGUAGUUGCAGGACUUCUAGCAAUUCAAAAUUCUCUCUUCUGAACCGCAGUGUACUGAUGACUCAAUCAACAAGCAAAGCCAAGACAACAAAAUCUACACCAAUGUCAAAUUCUGUUGCUUCAAAACCCCUAGAAGAAAGCUGCACGAAGAAGCUACUUCCUAAGAUAACAAUAAGCCCACUGAGGAAAAUUUAUUUUGUUGAUUCGGACACUGAUUCAGAUGAUAACAGGAAACAAAGUAAACCAAAGAAGCCCAUGAGUCCUAUCAAGAAGAGACAGGAAUCCGUGCACAAGUAUAUGCAGAAGAAGCCUGUAUCGCAGCAAAACAGUAAAUCUGAAGGGAGCACUGUUGUCCAGAAGAGUGAAGAUAUACUGAAGGACAGUUGGGCGACACCUGCUCUUGAUGACUUCUGCAGCGAGUAUUUCAAAUCUGUCCAACACUCAACACCAUCCCAGCAGACAAAAACCAACAGUUUUUCUGGCUCCAAGGUUUCACGACCAUACAGCUCUGUUAGUGAAAUUGGGGAACAUUUCCAGCAUGAAAGCACUUCAACCGGAGUUGUACUCGAAGAGAAUCUGACGGACAACCAUCCACCUGCCAUGCAUUAUUUCUGUCACCGUGAUCAGAUGGUGCAGAACCUGGUCCGUGAAAGAUUAAAGCACUUUGUUCCCAUUGGGGCUGGCACUUCCGAGGGAAAUGAGUACAUUGUAGAAGAAAAUCUGAACUACAGUAGGAGCCGGUUUGGCCAGAGUAGUGGUGCUAAUGAUCGGUGGGUGACUCCCAACAGUAGGACUUCUGUCCCAACAGAUUUUGGCAAAAGAAGGGUACAUGCUGGGGGAAGUCAGUCUGGCUCUGGCCAUUGGUUCACUGGAGAGGAUGGCAGGAAGGUUUAUGUCUCUAAAAAUGGACAGGAGUUAACUGGCCGUGAUGCCUAUAAACAAUACAGAAAGGAAAGCGGCAAGGGAUUUCGCAACUUCAAGAAGAAGAAAAGUACAGUCAAGAAGGAAGGUUCUGCUAGAGCCAAACGGGGUUCUUCUACGGCAAACAAGGCCAGUUCCAGUUCCACAGCAAAGCGAAGCUCAGGAGCCAAAAGGAAGCGAUGA